rnacentral:rRNA from 1 species
UGCGAGUAGAGUGGCGGACGGGUGAGUAAUACAUGGGAAUCUACCUAGUAGUGGGGGACAACCCGGGGAAACUCGGGCUAAUACCGCAUACGCCCUACGGGGGAAAGGCUUCGGCCGCUAUUAGAUGAGCCCAUGUCGGAUUAGCUUGUUGGUGGGGUAAUGGCCUACCAAGGCGACGAUCCGUAGUUGGUUUGAGAGGACGAUCAGCCACACUGGGACUGAGACACGGCCCAGACUCCUACGGGAGGCAGCAGUGGGGAAUAUUGGACAAUGGGCGAAAGCCUGAUCCAGCAAUGCCGCGUGUGUGAAGAAGGCCUGCGGGUUGUAAAGCACUUUCAGUAGGGAAGAUAAUGACGGUACCUACAGAAGAAGCACCGGCUAACUCUGUGCCAGCAGCCGCGGUAAUACAGAGGGUGCAAGCGUUAAUCGGAAUUACUGGGCGUAAAGCGCGCGUAGGCGGUUUGUUAAGUCGGAUGUGAAAGCCCCGGGCUCAACCUGGGAAUUGCAUUCGAUACUGGCAGGCUAGAGUAUGGUAGAGGGAAGUGGAAUUCCAGGUGUAGCGGUGAAAUGCGUAGAUAUCUGGAAGAACACCAGUGGCGAAGGCGACUUCCUGGACCAAUACUGACGCUGAGGUGCGAAAGCGUGGGGAGCGAACAGGAUUAGAUACCCUGGU